UCAUGACGCUGGCCGGCGCCUUCGUGGGCGGCGUGCUGUCGAUGCGGCUGGGCGUGAUGCGCGUGCUGAUGCUGGGCGCGGUGCUCAGCGCCGCGAGC
rnacentral:tRNA from 1 species